UGGAUCCAGACUUUGAUUCUGGCUCAGGACGAACGCUGGCGGCGCGCCUAACACAUGCAAGUCGAACGGAGGUCUUGGGAGGAAGUUUUCGGAUGGAAUCCCAGGAACUUAGUGGCGAACGGGUGAGUAACACGCGAGGAACCUGCCUUUCAGAGGGGGAUAACACUUAGAAAUAGGUGCUAAUACCGCAUAAGACCACGGUGUCGCAUGGCACAGCGGUCAAAGGAGCAAUCCGCUGAGAGAUGGACUCGCGUCUGAUUAGCUAGUAGGCGGGGUAACGGCCCACCUAGGCGACGAUCAGUAGCCGAGCUGAGAGGCUGAUCGGCCACAUUGGGACUGAGACACGGCCCAGACUCCUACGGGAGGCAGCAGUGGGGAAUAUUGCACAAUGGAGGAAACUCUGAUGCAGCGACGCCGCGUGAGGGAAGAAGGUUUCCGGAUUGUAAACCUCUGUCUUCGGGGACGAUAAUGACGGUACCCGAGGAGGAAGCCACGGCUAACUACGUGCCAGCAGCCGCGGUAAUACGUAGGUGGCAAGCGUUGUCCGGAAUUACUGGGUGUAAAGGGAGCGCAGGUGGGAUGGAAAGUUGGAUGUUUAAUCUACGGGCUCAACUCGUAUCAGCAUUCAAAACUAUCAUUCUUGAGUGGAGUAGAGGCAGGCGGAAUUCCAGGUGUAGCGGUGGAAUGCGUAGAUAUCUGGAGGGACACCAGUGGCGAAGGCGGCCUGCUGGGCUCUAACUGACACUGAGGCUCGAAAGCGUGGGUAGCAAACAGGAUUAGAUACCCUGGUAGUCCACGCCGUAAACGAUGAUUACUAGGUGUGGGGGGACUGACCCCCUCCGUGCCGCAGUUAACACAAUAAGUAAUCCACCUGGGGAGUACGACCGCAAGGUUGCAACUCAAAUGAAUUGACGGA
rnacentral:rRNA from 1 species